CCCCCCCCUCUCUCUCUCUCUCUAUUUGCCGCAAUCGACGCGCCUCCUCCGCAUCGGCGCGACCGCGCAUCCUCUCCCGCAUCUCCCUCUCUUCCGCAUUCGCCGUGCCUCCUCCGCAUCCCUCCCCUCCGCGUCAGGAUCGAGCGCCGCCUCGCGCAGGGGUUCACCGGCCUGCUGCAGGCGCAGCCGCCGCAGUUCCCGUGGCCGGCGGCGUCGCACAAGCGGAUUCCCUUCGAGAUCGACCUCCCCGUGGUCCCCUUCGGCGCCUCCCGGGGUGCCCGGGCCGGGAAGGAGUUCUUCCUCGCCGCGGCCGUCGCCUCCAUCAUCGACAUCGGCAGGAGGCCACCGGCGCCAGGGAGGUGAUUCUGCCACUCCGCGCCUCACCGGUCUCCACUCUCCAUCUCGCCGCCGCCACCACGUCCGCCCUCUGCCGCAGAUAGAGUGACAUGUUUAUUUGGACACAUGUAUAAUUGGAGUACAUGCAUUUGUGAUAAGUUUCCUUGGUAAAUGCAAUGUGUUCUUCAUCAUUGUCAAUUAUUCUAGGAGGCCUUGAUAUGUCAGUUACCGGAUUCAUGGCCAUUGUUCCACACCCUAGGAAUUAUUUGAAGGGCAAUAUUUUUAUGAAGCUUAAAGAUUGAAUUUGAAUCCAUCUGCCCUGGCUUGAAGUACAAUCCAAAUAUUAUGGUAUAUCAACAGCAGCUUCAGUCUGGGACAGAGCAAUACAAGGUCCUCCCUGAGGAGAUUUGGCUUUUCAGUAUGCUUCAGUAAGGAUUUAGCAGAUGGCAAUCUUUGCUGUCUGUUAGCAAGGAGCAUCAAGAGUUCCUCGGCCUUGUCGACAAAGAGAUUGAAUUAUAUUAUAUACUAAUGGAAUUCCGCCGGCGGUGUGAGGCCCACUCAGAGUAGGAUUUGGAGGGUGCAGAACUGUUUUUGCAUUGCCAAUGAAAGGAGGAAGACCGCCUCAAAGAGCCUUGUCCCCAUCCACCAACAUGGUCAUGAUAAUCGUUGACAUCGACCAAGAUCUCUCCAGGGUAAGUAGAACAGCACUAAAAUUAGGAUUAGCAUUUCUAGACACCAUGUUAUUUCAGAAAUUGAUUAGUUGGAAUCUUGUAUUCAUUUUGCUAGCCUGAGUGCCUAACUUAGUGGAAAUAUAUUGGAAAAGUUUCUCCAUGGCAGAUUGAGGCUGUUAUUUCCUGUAGAUUUAGGUUUCGCUGUAAAUACUGAACAAUUAUUGCAAUUUUCUAUUUGUAUUGAGUACUUGGGUGGUUCUUUCUAUCAACCAAAUCAAUUUUUAUUCAUCA